UACGUAGGGGGCAAGCGUUAUCCAGAUUUACUGGGCGUAAAGCGCGUGUAGGCGGCUGGUUAGGCGUGAUGUGAAAUCUUCCGGCUCAACCGGAAAACUGCAUUGCGAACCGGCCUGGCUAGAGUGCAGGAGAGGGAAGCGGAAUUCCAGGUGUAGCGGUGAAAUGCGCAGAUAUCAGGAAGAACACCCGUGGCGAAGGCGGUUCUCUGGGACGGUACUGACGCUGAGACGCGAAAGCGUGGGGAGCGAACAGG
rnacentral:rRNA from 1 species